rnacentral:misc_RNA from 1 species
AAAGUCGUAACAAGGUUUCCGUAGGUGAACCUGCGGAAGGAUCAUUCACAAUAAGUGUUUAUGGCACUUUCAAAUCCAUACCCACCUUGUGUGCAAUGUAUAAGAGUCCUUUCCAACUCGGAUUGGGCUUGAUUUUUCUCUCACACGUCUUCAAUUGCAAGUCUAAGCUUUCAGAGUAAUCAAAAAAACUCGAAUACAACUUUCAACAACGGAUCUCUUGGCUCUC